CCUACGGGAGGCAGCAGUGGGGAAUAUUGCACAAUGGGGGAAACCCUGAUGCAGCGACGCCGCGUGAGCGAGGAAGUAUUUCGGUAUGUAAAGCUCUAUCAGCAGGGACGAAAAAAGACGGUACCUGACUAAGAAGCCCCGGCUAACUACGUGCCAGCAGCCGCGGUAAUACGGAGGGGGCAAGCGUUAUCCGGAUUUACUGGGUGGAAAGGGAGCGUAGACGGCAAGGCAAGCCAGAAGUGAAAGGGCAGGGCUCAACCCUGUACAUGCUUUUGGAACUGGGGUGCUAGAGUGCAGGAGAGGUAAGUGGAAUUCCUAGUGUAGCGGUGAAAUGCGUAGAUAUUAGGAGGAACACCAGUGGCGAAGGCGAGUUACUGGACUGUAACUGACGUUGAGGCUCGAAAGCGUGGGGAGCAAACAGGAUUAGAUACCCGAGUAGUC
rnacentral:rRNA from 1 species